UACGGAGGAUCCAAGCGUUAUCCGGAUUUAUUGGGUUUAAAGGGUCCGUAGGCGGGAAAGUCAGUCAGUGGUGAAAUCCUAUAGCUUAACUAUAGCACUGCCAUUGAUACUGCUUUUCUUGAAUUAAGUUGAAGUGGGCGGAAUGUGUCAUGUAGCGGUGAAAUGCAUAGAUAUGACACAGAACACCGAUUGCGAAGGCA
rnacentral:rRNA from 1 species